GACGAACGCUGGCGGCGUGCCUAAUACAUGCAAGUUGAGCGAUGAAGAUUGGUGCUUGCCCCAAUUUGAAGAGCAGCGAACGGGUGAGUAACGCGUGGGGAAUCUGCCUUUGAGCGGGGGACAACAUUUGGAAACGAAUGCUAAUACCGCAUAACAACUUUAAACAUAAGUUUUAAGUUUGAAAGAUGCAAUUGCAUCACUCAAAGAUGAUCCCGCGUUGUAUUAGCUAGUUGGUGAGGUAAAGGCUCACCAAGGCGAUGAUACAUAGCCGACCUGAGAGGGUGAUCGGCCACAUUGGGACUGAGACACGGCCCAAACUCCUACGGGAGGCAGCAGUAGGGAAUCUUCGGCAAUGGACGAAAGUCUGACCGAGCAACGCCGCGUGAGUGAAGAAGGUUUUCGGAUCGUAAAACUCUGUUGGUAGAGAAGAACGCCGGUGAGAGUGGAAAGCUCAUCAAGUGACGGUAACUACCCAGAAAGGGACGGCUAACUACGUG
rnacentral:rRNA from 1 species